rnacentral:rRNA from 1 species
AUGAACGCUGGCGGCGUGCCUAAUACAUGCAAGUCGAGCGAACGGACGAGAAGCUUGCUUCUCUGAUGUUAGCGGCGGACGGGUGAGUAACACGUGGAUAACCUACCUAUAAGACUGGGAUAACUUCGGGAAACCGGAGCUAAUACCGGAUAAUAUUUUGAACCGCAUGGUUCAAAAGUGAAAGACAGUCUUGCUGUCACUUAUAGAUGGAUCCGCGCUGCAUUAGCUAGUUGGUAAGGUAACGGCUUACCAAGGCAACGAUGCAUAGCCGACCUGAGAGGGUGAUCGGCCACACUGGAACUGAGACACGGUCCAGACUCCUACGGGAGGCAGCAGUAGGGAAUCUUCCGCAAAGGGCGAAAGCCUGACGGAGCAACGCCGCGUGAGUGAUGAAGGUCUUCGGAUCGUAAAACUCUGUUAUUAGGGAAGAACAUAUGUGUAAGUAACUGUGCACAUCUUGACGGUACCUAAUCAGAAAGCCACGGCUAACUACGUG